AGCCCGGAGAUGGACACUGAGACAAGGGUCCAGGCCCUAAGGGGCGCAGCAACCGCGAAACCUCCACAAUGCACUCACGUGCGACGGGGCUAUCUCGAGUGCCACCUGAUGAAGGUGGCUUUUCCUUGGUCUUCAAAGCCUUGGGAAUAAGAGGGGGGCAAGACUGGUGUCAGCCGCCGCGGUAACACCAGCCCCUCGAGUGGUGGGGAUGAUUAUUUGGCCUAAAGCGUCCGUAGCCGGCCGAGCAAGUCUUCCGUUAAAUCCAGCGUCUCAAGCGUUGGACCGCGGGAGAUACUACACGGCUAGAGAGUGGGAGAGGUCAGCGGUAUUCUGGGGGUAGGGGCGAAAUCCUCUGACCCCCGGAGGACCACCAGUGGCGAAGACUGCUGACUAGAACACGUCUGACGGUCAGGGACGAAAGCUGGGGUAGCGAACCGGAUUAGAUACCCGGGUAGUCCCAGCCGUAAACGAUGCAUGCUAGGUGUUGGGUUGGCCACGAGCCACCCCAGUGCCGCAGGGAAGCCGUUAAGCAUGCCGCCUGGGAAGUACGAUCGCAAGGUUGAAACUUAAAGGAAUUGGCGGGGGAGCACAAUCG
rnacentral:rRNA from 1 species